rfam:Pteropus alecto contig102748, whole genome shotgun sequence.
CCAGGGUGAGGUAGUAAGUUGUAUUGUUGUGGGGUAGGGAUUUUAAGCCCCAAUUAGAAGAUAACUAUACAACUUACUACUUUCCCUGG